UACAGAGGAGCCAAGCGUUGUCCGGAUUGACUGGGCGUAAAGCGCACGCAGGCGGUCGCGCGCGUGGGGUGGGAAAUCUGGCCGCUUAACGGCCAGGCGCCAUCCCAUACGGCGCGACUCGAGCCAUGCAGAGGGCGGUGGAAUUGCCGGUGUAGUGGUGAAAUGCGUAGAGAUGUGGAGGAACACCGAUGGCGAAGGCAGCCCCCUGGGUCAACACUGACGCUCAUGCACGAAAGCGUGGGGAGCAAACAGG
rnacentral:rRNA from 1 species